rnacentral:rRNA from 1 species
ACAUACGACCAUACCCACUGGAAUAUACGGGAUCCCGUCCGCUCUCCCCUAGUCAAACCAGUGAGGGCCGAACUAGUACUCAGGUGGGUGACCACUGGGGAAUCCUCGGUGUUGUAUGUUUUG